rnacentral:lncRNA from 1 species
UCUAAAAGAACAAAAUGAAGAGGAAAAAUUCAAAGGAUUCUUUCCAAAACCAAUUCCAAUUAUUAAACCUAUUUCAAAGCCCAUUCCCAUUAUUAAACCUAUUCCAAAGUCAAUUCCUAUUGUUAAACCUAUUCCUAUUCCAGUUUAUAAGCCUAUAUCAAAACCAAUUCCCAUCGUUAAGCCUAUUCCGAAGCCAUUUCUGAUUGUUAAACCAAUUCCUAAUGACGAAGAAAAAUUCAAAGGUGUUUUUCCAAAACCUAUUCCCAUAGUUAAGCCAAUUCCAAAGCCAAUUCCCAUUGUUAAGCCUAUCCCUAUUCCAAUAUAUAAGCCUAUACCAAAAUCAGUUCCCAUUGUGAAACCAAUUCCUAUUAUUAAACCAAUACUAAAGCCAAAUCCCAUUGUUAAGCCAAUUCCAAAGCUGAUUCCCAUUGUUAAGCCUAUACCAAACCCAUUAAGAGUGAAAAAGUCUAUCCCUGCUUUUGGGUCAGAGGAAUUUUUAAAACCAAAACCUUUCUUUGAAAAGCCUAUUCCUAAACUACCACUUGAUCCUAAAUUCAAGAAACCUCUUCUACCACCAUUGCCAAUUCACAAGCCAAUUCCAACCCCAUAAAAUGAUAACACUCUACGCCAUAAAGCUAUAAGGAUAUUCCUUCCGUUUCUAAUGCCUUUAUAUAUAUAAAUGCACCGCAUUAAUUUCAACCUGAAUCAUGAUUUCGAUAAUCCUUUCGUACCCCUCUUGUGUACUGGAUUGGAAUAUAUAUGUACUUGAUGUUUUCUAUGUAAUGAAGGUCUCAAUAUUAUUAUUUGUAAGAUUAAUUAUAUUAUUAAGAAAUGGUUCGCUUUUUUUGUUUUGUUUAAGUAAAAUGUUUAGUUAUCACUCCAAGAAAUUUCACUAUUAUCGAUAGGAAAAAUCCGCCGGUAUAUAUCACAAAUUUUUUGUCGGUAAUGAAAUUUUAACGACAAAAUACCGACGAACAAAAUCCCAUCAACAAUAACCUUAUAGGAAGCUUUUACUGACAGAUUUUAAUGACAAACUUUUUACCCACGGACUUUACUAACAGAUGUAUAUGUGGGAAAACAUCGACAUAUUUUUUCGUGGGAAAUUAUGACAGAUUUUCGUGGGAAAUUAUUGAUGGCUUUUUCUGUUAAAAAUUACCGACAAUUUUUUUUUGGGAAGUUACUGAUGGAUUUUGCCAUGAAAAGCUAUCAAGGGAGAUUUUUAAGUAAAAAAUUGCUGAUGAAUUUGUCCAUCUAUAACAUAUUUUUUAAUUAAUUAUAUUUUUUGUUUUCAAAUAUAUAUUUAAAUUUUUAUUUUAUAAUUUUAAAAAUAAACUAAAAAAUGAAAAUAAAAUAUAAAUAAAUUAAAUACGUUGAGUUCAACCAAAUCUUGUUCAUUUAUGAUUUUUGCAAUUCAUUGACAAAAUAAGAACAUAUAAAAUUCCUUUGCUUAUGAACAUGGGUAAGUAUUCUAAUAAUAAGCACAAAAUACAAAUUUUGUAAUCCCAGGAGCAAGACUUGUUUUAACUAUCCAAGAAAGCAAGAAUUAAUUAGAUGGAAGACUGCCAUGAUUGAGUUCCACUGGGUGCUGAUGCUAAUAAACUUUUGUAACUUUUUCUACAUAUUUUAUCUAGUUACUCAUAGAUUAUAUUAUAUUACCCACGGAAUAAUCUCUAGGUAAAUUACCUUUGAAAUUAUUCCCCCAGAAAGGUACCAAAUUUUUUGAUUGAUUUUUCGACAGAAUGCUUGUCGAUAAUACUCUUUUGAUGUUACCUAUGACCUUUCAUUUUUACUGGUGGAUUUAUCCAUCAAUAAUGCAAAAUUACUAACGUAUCUUAAUCCAUGGGCAAAUAAAUAGACACAUUCUUUUAGUAGUAUUUCCAUUUUACAUUUUUAAUUAGAAGAUGAUAUUUAAUUGUGUUUAUGUGUAAAGACAUAAAGACCAUUAAAUCAUAUAUCUAUUUUUAUACAAAGGGUAAAUCUUAUCUAUUAAUUCCUAACAUUAAUAGUUAAUAUCAAACUUCCUCCGUUCCAAAUUAAAUGUCGCAUUUUAAAAAAUAAAUUAUGCUAAAAUAAAUGUUAUGUUAACUUUUUAAUAUAAUAUUAUUUUUUUAUUUUUUAUUAAUACAUAUAUCUAAUAAAUGUCAUUUUAGUUUUUUUAAUGUAAUAUAAAUACUGAGAUAAAUUUUCUAAAAUUACAAUUCUCUUUCAUAUAUUUAUUAACUUUUCUUAGUAUGUUAAAAAUAACUUAGGAUGAAAUUUAUUUUAGAACCGACAAAUAAACCACUAAAUUAGGUCCUAUAUGGCUUGGGUGCUUGCAAGUUUUUUUGUUUUUAAACUUUUGAAAAAAGCCUAUAAUGGGAUAAUAUUAAUUGAAAUAAUUUUUAAAUGAAUUUGAAACUAUUUUAAUAUUUAUGCACUGUUACAAUGCCCUAGGCAUUUUGUUAAAAUCUCUGAUGUUAGACUUCAGCAAGUCAUAUGCUAUAUGGCUCUUCACCGUAUUCAUAUAUAUAACGAUUUUGAUUUUACUUAAAAAAAAACACUUUUGGAUCCCUUAUUGGUAAAUACUUACAAAUACAACACAAGCUUCAAUAUGUUCUAGAUUCGUUAAACCUAAAAAACUUUUUACUUUUUUAUCUCUCAAAUUUAAAUAUUUUUUAAGUACUUCAAUAAUUCUGAAAAAUUAUUUUUUAAUCUCUGUAUAAAAAUAAAGAAAUAUCCUUGUGACCCCAAAAUUAAUAGAAGUUUUUUUAUGUUAAGGGAAUAGAAAAAUAUUUUUCGAAAUUGUGAAACUAAAAAAUUAAAUUUAAAUUUGAAGAACCAAAUUGGUUAUAUAUAUAUAUAUAUAUAUAUAUAUAUAUAUAUAUAUAUAUAUUUUGAUGGUUGGCAUAAGGGGUACCAACAACCCAUAUACAAAAAUAUAAUUGUUAAAUACCAAAAUGCUUCCCAUUGGUUAUUAGUUCCUAUUUAGAACACCGAGUUCUCAUUAGGACUAGGUGAUCAACGUAAGUUUAUGCUUUUGAUUACAUGUAGGUCUACCUUUUGAGCUUGUUGCUUCUUGUGUGGGUGCUUUCGAACUGUGAAGACAUCUGUGUCCCAUUCUCCGUUUACUCUUUGCAUCUUUUGGUGCUUCUUCAUGUCAUCUGUAGUUUUUUUUUUAUCGCACUACCCCUUUUGAACAAUCCUUCUGGUCAUGUUUCUGAUAAUACAUAGUUUUUUUAUCUCGUUGCAUCCUGGAAAAUAUGAUUUGUCUUUCAUGCUUUUCAUGUUUCUGAUUAGCUAUAUCCUUGUCCUGCUUCGAUGGGGUAGAUCCUGCAUCUGGAAGGGUAACAUACUUCAAACUAAUGCUUCACGUUUUUCUUCAUACUUCUUAAUCAAGUCAUGUCUAAUAAUCACAUACUCAAGGCAAACCAUCAAUAGCUGAAGUCUAGACAACUUAGAAUCUGCUUUUUAAUAGUUUCUUGAUUAAAACUAUAAUUUUAGGAGGAGUUCUUCUUCAACAGUUAGAACUUGAGGUGUCACACCUCAUUAGUCAACUUCAAAUCAAUUUCUAAACUUAGAGCUUUGGUAGAAGUAGUUAAGUCCUGUUGUACUUUUCUAUUUCUAGGUUGAAGAUUGGUGUUCUCCACAGUAAGAAUGAUCACCUUCUUCUUGGCAUCCUCUAAAUCAUUGGUGAUCUUAAACCUUGGCCACUAAAGCUCGACGUUUUUCCUUGUCACUUGCAACAAAAGAAAGAAUUAUGUUGUGUACUUUUGUUACAUGGAUUGGGUUCCAGGCUAUACUUGAGACCUAAUUUAUAACUGGUCACCUGACUCAAAAUUAUUUCUUCUCGACUCAUAUGUAAGCAAAAAAAGUUAUUUUUAUCUUAGACUUAAAUAUAAGUAAAUUUAAUUAAUCUCACUCCUAUUUAAUGAUAUUAUUUUUAACACUCUUCAAUUAAUUACAACUCAAUUUUUAAAGUUUCUAUUUUACUCACGAUAUUAAGUUCUAGUGAAAAACAUUUUAAAAAUAAUCUUAUUUUUUUAUUUGAGAUAAAUAAAAUUAAAUAAUUUAAAUUAACUUUCUUAAUUAAUGUGAAAGUAGUUAAUUUUGCUUAUAAAGAGAGCAUUAGACUAGCCUAAUGGGCCAAGUGUUGGUUGAGGACAGCUCCUCUACCAAGAGUAUCAUUCCUUUACCUUUAAUACACUUGUAAACAGAAAAGUACACCUUGACCAGAGCAAAGUUACUACAUCAAUACAGGAUAAUAUUACCUUGGAAGACCUUGAGCUUCGUGAGGAAAAUGACCCAUAUCUCAAACUCUAAAUACAACCAACAACGAUGUAUUUAAAAUAAAAAAUGAUUUAUGUAUUAUUACUUUAUUAUAUAUCACGGCUCUAGUAAACUUGCUAUUGACUUAAAGUGUUAAAAGUACCUUUUGGAGGUAUUUACCUCCUACUUGUGGCAUCUCAGCCGCAUUAGAGUGUAGUACCAUUGUUCCUACACUUCAGAUCUUUGUCAACAAGGAACCUGUUGGUUAGAGCAAUUACAGAAUUUGGUCAAACUCAAUUAUCCUAUCUCAUGCACCAUAACAACAACAAUAAACAAUAACAAAAUCUUUAUUCUACUAGACGAGAUCAUCAGUUACAUAGAGUGCACACCGAGCUUAUGAAUGUAAGGCAAAAUAUUAAUUAAGGUUCUGUAUAUGACUCAGCUUCAAUUUAUAUAUGUGUCUAUUUAGCAUCUAUUAUUGAAUAAUGGCGCAAGUAGCAACUUUAUUAUAAAAGGUCAUAGUAGUAUCUGCUGGAGGUUGUUGUUCACUGUCAAAUGACUUAUCUCAAUUCAGGACCGGCUUAAGAUUUAAGCAGCCCAAGGAAGGACUUUAAGCCCCAAAAAAAAGUCCUAAAUUUUUUUUAAUACUAAUAUAUCUAAAAAAAUUAUUGUAAAAUUAUAUUUAAAAAUGAAUUUUAAUAAAAAAAAUUUAAUACUAAUAUACCUCAAAAUAUAAAUUUAUUUUAGGUCUCUCAAGUUCUUGAACCACCCUAUCUCAAUUAGCGAAAAUCAUGCGACAGGAACCUACCUAUGAUGCCUCAAAUAUAAGACAAGGACCUAGUUAGUCAUGUUAACUAUAAUAGGGGAAGGAAUUGUUUUAUUCCGAUGGUGGGGUCAAUAUAUGAGAUUCUUAUAUAUAAAAUGCUGAUGAACAGAGUUAUCUUUCUUAUCUUGUAUUACUCAAUUUUCAAUAAAUUCCUUUUGUUUAUUAAAAAAACAAUUUAACUGUUAUUUUAUAAAUUAUAAUGUUAACUGAUCAACUUUCUUUGCCUCAUUGUGUUUGAAACUUCCUAAGUUCGAACAGUAUUCUCUAAACACCCAAAAUUAAGGAAAAGAAACACCUUAUUACUUGGGAGGUUCAUUUAUUGGACAGAGCAUCCCAUGCAUUAUCAUAGCAACAACAACGGUGUUUAACGCUAUUAACCUCCCUAAACAUAUGACCACGUUCCAACAACUCACAUAAUAAUCCCUAAACCAAAUCUAAAAUUUCGGAGUAUAUUAAAAAAAAGUAAUGGCCAAUAGUACACUUAAUUUACUGUUAGUCCCAAGCUAAGUAUUAUAAAUAAUGGGAGUAUGCAUGAGACGUUAACUCAAGCCUUGAGAUAUUUCCCUUUUGAGGUUUGAUUAGUGUGGCCUAGUUAAUUUGUUUUCUCGAUGAGAAUGAGAAAGCAAUCCACUAUGCAAUGCGCACUUUUUCGCUUCUGGGUUCCCUUGUUACUACUUGCCAGCUUCAGUUAUGCUCCUUCUGUUUUGGCCACAACUGAAAUUUCAGGUUUGUAGCUCGUCUAAUACUGACAUACAAAUAAUUUUGUUAGGCUUUUAAAUAUGAUGUUUUCAAUCCUCAACAAAAAAAAUUAUUCAUUUUAAUAAUUACAAUAUUACAAUUAAAAAACAAUAUAGUUUUUGUAAGAUGUUAAAAGUAUAAUAUAUAAUCUUUAUAACUUAAAAUUGAUUAAUUUUGAAUAUGGGUUAAUUUCAAAAUCAGAGAUAAGAACAUAUAUAUAUAUAUAUAUUAUCUUGUUAUCUAAUAUAUAUAAAAGGCUUAAAUAUAAUUUUGAUUCCCCUAUUCUGUUCACUAUGUAAUCUUAGUCUUUUCAUUUUAAAAUAGAGAUAUUUGAUCUUUUUUGUUAAAAUUUUUUAUAAUUUUAGUCCUUAUAUUUCAAAAAAAAAAAUAUUUGGUCCUUCUAUUUUAGAAAUUUCACAAAUAUGAUGUAUUUUUUCUAUUAAAAAUUUGACAAUUUUGGCAAAAUUUUUAAUUUGAUCUACAUUUUAUUUCUUUAUUUCUUAUAUUAUAAUUAAUUAAAUCAUUUUUAUGAUACGUUAAAUGAAUAUGUUAGGUCUAUGACUCAACUGGAUCAAAAUGAAAGAAAUAAAGCAUAGACAAAAUUAAAAAUUUGACUAAAAUUGAAAAUUUUGAAAAAAUAGGAAGAUCAAAUAUUUUUAUUUUGAAAUAGGAAACUAAAAUCAUAAUUUUUUUUAUAAAAAAAUAGGGACCAAAUAUUGUGAAUUAAGCUAAAUAGAAAGAUCAAAAUUUCCUAUUAAAACAAUCAAAUAACUUAGUAGCUCUUUCAAAUGAAAUAAUUCAAAAGAGAUAUGGAGAUCCGGUCCCUUCAUGAUGUUAAUUUCUUCAACUAGUUAUGGCCAUGUUCUUAACUAGCUUAAAAUAUGUGUGAUUUGCUUGUUAAAACAAUCAAAUAAACUUAGUAGCUCUUUCAAAAAUAUUAUUUGUGUUUAAUUAUAUUUUUGAAUUUCUUAUGUAGGGAAUCAAGUGAACAUGGAUGGGAAGGUUGUAAAUGAAGAGUUAGGAAAACCUAAUCUAAAAGGACAAGAUGAAGAAGAAAAAUUCAAAGGACUUUUUCCAAAACCAAUUCCAAUUGUUAAACCUUUUCCAAAGCUCAUUCCUAUAAUUAAACCUAUUCCAAAGCCAAUUCCGGUUGUUAAACCAAUUCCUAUUCCACUUUAUAAGCCUUUUCCAAAAUCAAUUCCUAUUGUUAAGCCUAUUCCAAAGCCAAUCCCAAAUGGUAAGCCAAUUCCAACUGAAGAAGCAAAAUUCAAAGGUUUUUUUCCAAAACCUAUUCCCAUAGUUAAGCCAAUUCCAGUUGCCAAGCCAAUUCCUAUUGUUAAGCCUUUUCCAAAGCUCAUUCCUAUAAUUAAACCUAUUCCAAAGCCAAUUCCGAUUGUUAAACCAAUUCCUAUUCCAGUUUAUAAGCCUAUUCCAAAAUCAAUUCCUAUUGUUAAGCCUAUUCCAAAUGGUAAGCCAAUUCCAACUGAAGAAGCAAAAUUCAAAGGGUUUUUUCUAAAACCUAUUCCCAUAGUUAAGCCAAUUCCAGUUGCCAAGUCAAUUCCUAUUGUUAAGCCUAUCCCUAUCACAGUAUAUAAGCCUAUUACAAAAUCAUUUCCCACUGUUAAGCCUAUAC